AACGAACGCUGGCGGCAUGCCUAACACAUGCAAGUCGAACGAGAUCUUCGGGUCUAGUGGCGCACGGGUGCGUAACGCGUGGGGAUCUGCCCUUUGGUUCGGAAUAACAGUUGGAAACGACUGCUAAUACCGGAUGAUGACGAAAGUCCGAAGAUUUAUCGCCAGAGGAUGAGCCCGGGUAGGAUUAGCUAGUUGGUGUGGUAAAGGCGCACCAAGGCGACGAUCCUUAGCUGGUCUGAGAGGAUGAUCAGCCACACUGGGACUGAGACCCGGCCCAGACUCCUACGGGAGGCAGCAGUGGGGAAUAUUGGACAAUGGGCGAAAGCCUGAUCCAGCAAUGCCGCGUGAGUGAUGAAGGCCUUAGGGUUGUAAAGCUCUUUUACCCGGGAUGAUAAUGACAGUACCGGGAGAAUAAGCUCCGGCUAACUCCGUGCCAGCCGCCGCCGUAAAAC
rnacentral:rRNA from 1 species